AUCCUUUUGUGGUUCAUAAGCAUGAUGAAUGAGUGCUCAUGUGCUUGUGUGAGGUGUGCAUCCCUCAAACCUUUUUAUGACAUCAGCACAUUACCCAUCUGACA
rnacentral:snoRNA from 1 species